rnacentral:rRNA from 1 species
UACGAAGGGGGCGAGCGUUGUUCGGAAUUACUGGGCGUAAAGGCGCGUAGGCGGCCGAUCAAGUCAGAUGUGAAAGUCCUGGGCUUAACCUGGGGACUGCAUUUGAUACUGAUUGGCUUGAAUGCAGGAGAGGAUAGCGGAAUUCCCAGUGUAGAGGUGAAAUUCGUAGAUAUUGGGAAGAACACCGGUGGCGAAGGCGGCUAUCUGGACUGUGAUUGACGCUGGAGGCGCGAAAGCGUGGGGAGCGAACGGG